CCGCCAGCAGAUGGAGGGGAUUUGCUUUGCUGAGCUGAACUCUUCAGCCAGUGAGGUUAGGAAGAACUUGAUGGGGGUGGGGAUCAGGUACCUGGCUGCCUGCCGCCCUUCUUCCUCACUCUCCCAACCCCCUUGGGUCUUGGGGAAGGAGGUGUCUGAUCGAAGCCCCUUUGAGCCCCUGGGAUAAGGACCCUGGGACCUCUGAUGCGCUUCUAAGCUGUGGCCACCUUCUCCGGUUCUCCACUGCUGUCAGCUUACUGCAGAGGGAGAACCGAGACCCGGAGCUGGAGGGACUUAAAGGCUGCAGAUCAUUGGUGGUGAGAGAAAGGUGACCUCUUUCUCCCUUGCAGGACCUGAAGGAGAAGAAGGAAAAGGUGGAGGAGAAGGCAAGCCGGAAAGAGCGAAAGAAAGAAGUGGUGGAGGAGGAGGAGAACGGAGCUGAGGAGGAGGAGGAAGAGACAGCCGAGGAUGGAGAGGAGGAGGAUGAAGGGGAAGAAGAAGAUGAGGAAGAAGAAGAGGAGGAUGACGAAGGGCCCGCGCUGAAGAGAGCUGCCGAAGAGGAGGUUUGGGCAGGGCUGCGGGCCUGAGGGACUGUCAGCCGGGCUGGAUCCAGAUCCCAGAUCCCUGUGUGGCUUGGGCGGGGGCUGGAGCAGGGCCAGGGCCAGGGCCAGAGCCCCGACAGGGGAGGCGGCACCCCUCUUACAGCUCUCCCA